CAUUAUUGAAAUAAACCUGAUAAGUUGCUGCUGGUUCUCUAGGGAGCAAUGUGCACACUUGUCAUCUUUGUAUCUUCCCCUGUGCAUCUUUUGUAGACCUGAAUAUCUCUCUGAAUGCUUUAGUUAGCAUUCAGGAUUGAGAAUUGACUUUUUGUCUCUUCUUAUAUUUUCAGGUCUAUGUUUCUUCAUAUACCCAAAUGUAUGUUUAUAGAAUGUAAUUAAUGGGCUUUUGUGCCUAUAAACCUUUACAACUUUCAGCAACGGAUCUCUUGGCUCUCGCAUCGAUGAAGAACGCAGCGAAAUGCGAUAAGUAAUGUGAAUUGCAGAAUUCAGUGAAUCAUCGAAUCUUUGAACGCACCUUGCGCUCCUUGGUAUUCCGAGGAGCAUGCCUGUUUGAGUGUCAUUAAUAUUAUCAACCUUUUUGGGUUGGAUAUUGGGUUUGCUGGCCUUCUUGAGGUCUGCUCUCCUUAAAUGUAUUAGCGGACAACAUUUUUUGCCAACUGUUCAUUGGUGUGAUAAUUAUCUACGCUAUUGACAUGAAGCAAGGUUCUGCUUAUAAUAGUCCAUUUAUUUGGACAAGCCUCUUUUUAUUAAUUUGACCUCAAAUCAGGUAGGACUACCCGCUGAACUUAAGCAUAUCAAUAAGCGGAGGAAAAGAAACUAACAAGGAUUCCCCUAGUAACUGCGAGUGAAGCGGGAAAAGCUCAAAUUUAAAAUCUGACAGUCUUUGGCUGUUCGAGUUGUAAUCUAGAGAAGCAUUAUCCGCGCUGGACCGUGUACAAGUCUCCUGGAAUGGAGCGUCAUAGAGGGUGAGAAUCCCGUCUUUGACACGGACUGCCAGGGCUUUGUGAUGUGCUCUCAAAGAGUCGAGUUGUUUGGGAAUGCAGCUCAAAAUGGGUGGUAAAUUCCAUCUAAAGCUAAAUAUUGGCGAGAGACCGAUAGCGAACAAGUACCGUGAGGGAAAGAUGAAAAGAACUUUGGAAAGAGAGUUAAACAGUACGUGAAAUUGCUGAAAGGGAAACGCUUGAAGUCAGUCGCGUUGUCCAGGGAUCAACCUUGCUUUUGCUUGGUGUACUUUCUGGUUAACGGGUCAGCAUCAAUUUUGACUAUUGGAAAAAGAUUGAGGGAAUGUGGCAUCUUUGGAUGUGUUAUAGCCCUUGGUUGCAUACAAUAGUUGGGAUUGAGGAACUCAGCACGCCGCAAGGCCGAGUUUUUACUACGUACGUGCUUAGGAUGCUGGCAUAAUGGCUUUAAUCGACCCGUC
rnacentral:rRNA from 1 species